GAAACUAGGUCUGACUUUGCUCUGCCAUUGGCUAAGAAUGCUGGAAUCAAGGAAGGAGUUCUUGUGCCUGGAAAUGGUGUAGAGAGAUUUUUGGAUUUUCUGAUUAACCCAGCAGAGUUACUUUCUCGAGUAAAACAAAUUGCGGAAAUUAUUGCCGUUACUAAUACGCUGGACCUGGAAAUCUUGAAGGCUCGGCUUUCAGCCUUUCAUCUAGCAAGAGGAGGUUAUAAGUUACCUAAGUAUGAAGAACCCCUGCCAGUUCCUGGGCUUGAAGAUAGUUCAAUGGAUGAAAGAGUAGAUGUAGGUAACAUUCAGGGUGGAGUGGAAGCACAUGUCCAAGGGCCAUCCGAAGACGACUACUCUACUGUGCCAACGAACCCAGAGUCUCGUGAACUGAGUUACUCUCAUGAGAUUUCAGGACAUAGGUCGACUCAUAGGAUUAAACAGAAAAGCAUUGCUGAAAUUUUGAGGGAAAACGAAGUUGUUAGUACCAAAAGCAAGGAGGAAGGUACAAUGGAAAAAAUGAAGGUUAAAAGUAAGAGGAAAAGCAGUGAGGAUGCAGUGGCUUCUAAACCAUUGCAGAAGAGGAAAGAAUCACUCCCGAGCACUGAUAGAAAUUUGACAAAUGCUGCAAAUGAUGUCAGUAUUGGCAAGGUAAAAAGAGAUAAGGGCACACCAUCACAGUUGAAGGAGAAGAAAGAAGCUUUUGGGAAUGAAAACAAUAGAAGUGGGAGGAAAAAGAAGCCUAAAGAAGGGAAUCCCAAAGAACAAAAUGAGAAGGGUUCUUUGUCAAGAGAAAGGAAGAAAAGCAAGUACUUGUCCCCUCCCUUCACUGCUCCAGCCAAAGGGCAGAGGAAGGAAGACUUAGAUAAAGAAUCCCAUAAUGAUUCUGACAAAGCUCAUGUUUCUGAAGCAAUGCCCAGAGCAGGCAACCAGUUUCAUAAGUCCCCUGAACCUCCAAAAUUUAACGGUGAGGCAGUUCAUAAGUCCCCUGAAAGUUCAAACUACCAAACAUCAGAAGACAAUAACAAGGUUAUUGAUCCAGCAAAAGUAGAGACUCCUGCAGUGGAAGUUUUAUCCAAAGUUCGCCAUGCAGCUAUAAAUCCAUUAGUACCUGGGGAAAUCAGUUCUCUUGAAAAUUUUGUGGACUUUGUUUCUGUCUUUAGAAGCUCAUUGUAUCAGGAAGGAUCCUACUACAAGGUAUACAAGAAGCACCAACGUGGCAGGAAGAGAAAGAACCCAGAAUCUGAACUUAGGAAGCUGAAGAAAGAUGAAAAGCAAACCAAUCAGAUAUCACCUAAUGACGUUUCUGAGCCGAGAAAGCGAAGAAGGAAGGAAACAAUGUCUGGAGUACCUGAAGAUCAGAAGCAAGCUGCUGAAGCUAAGGCUGUCAAAGGGAGUGAUGAAAAUGUUUCAUCAGUUGCACUUUUGGUCUCAUUUGAGCCUGGAUCCUCUCUGCCUUCAAAAUCUGACCUUAUCACACUGUAUAGCAAGUUCGGGGCGCUGAACGAAUCGGCAACAACUGUAUUCUCUAGUAAUUACUCUGCUCAAGUGUCUUUUCUGAAAGCUUCUGAUGCCAAAAUAGCCUUGAACCAUUCGCAAAGUGCAAGCCCUUUCGGAUCUUCCAAAGUCAGAUUCAAGCUCAGUUACCUUUCUGCUGAAUCCAAGUCUGCGAAAAAGGGCGAAAAAUCAAAGUCCAAAGCAUCUCAGGUUAAGGAGAAAGAUAAGACUCCAACCAAGCCAUCUGAUUCGUUGUCCCCGAAGAAGGAAGCAUCCCAAUUGAACCACAUAAAGCAGAAGCUCGAGUAUCUGUCUUCGAUACUUGAAGCAUCAAAUGGGAAAUCACAAGCUAUGGAGACAAAAUUGAAGAGCGGGAUUAAAGAGCUUUUGGAGGACGUGAACAAAAUGGUUGACUCAUCAUCAUCAUAGAUCGUAAUACAUGGAAUAUUGGUAAAGUGAUACAUAUGUAGCUAAUAAUCAGCUUAGGUUUAAGAUUUGUUGUUUUCUUUAGAGGUUUCUGUUUGUUUCGUUUUUGUGCUUAGAUUUAUUUCAGAGGAAAAUUUUUUCAUUUUCUUGUGUAGAGUAUGUAAUAUGUUGUAUGCAUAGUCUGUAUAAACCAAAAAGCCUUUUAGAUCAUCGUGUCUGUUAUCAUAGUGAUGAAAACAGCUUUUAAAGGAUCAUUUCUUUUAACCUGACUCUCACUCGUGUGUGAAGAAACAAUUGAUUCCUUUUAUGGUAUCAUUUUUAUUUUUUGAUGCAUUGGCAGUUGACUAGACAAAGAGACGUGGAACAUAUUUGUAGAAAUAUGUAGUUUUCAUUUCUCGUUUGGCCUUGCCAUAUAUAGGCAAGUUGAACAUCCCUUUUAUUUUUAUUGUUUCUUCUAUUAUGUCGAUUGGGUUAUAUAUAAUAUCAGAGAAGCAGUUAUAUUAUUGGAAACUUUAUAAAGGUAUGCCACUGUGGUAGUGUACUAGUGUACCUUUGUGUGGUGUCAUACCCUUGUGAUACGACGUAUGGAGUAUGGACUACGGAUCGGUGAGGUAUUUUUGGUCUUUUUUUUGUUUUUGGGUUUUUCAACUUCAUUUAAGUUUAGUUUAACUUGAGAGCUUUUCAUUCUAUCGUAAAAAAAUACAGCCGCUCAUAUAAUGAAUCAAAGUUACAUAUCAUUAAUUGAAUGGAUAUCCACAUCCAUAUCACAAUACUUUUUAGAAUAUGUUUUUGUCAUUUUUAUCUCUUAAAGUCUUAAUAAUAUUACUAAUUUUGGGAACUUUUUUGUAAAAUUUUUUAAGUUACUCAAAAAUUAAAUACUUUACCAUGUUUAAAAGAAAAAAAAAAAAGAAAAAACUAUGUAAAAAACCUAGUCACGUGAUAGUGACUUCGUGUGCUACCCUGCUCCUUCGGGUUAGGGACGAAAAAGAAAUGACGACUCCUAAAUCAAGUCACUAAUGGUUGUAGAAAAAAACAGACGAAUUAAAGGUGAGAUGAAAAUUAUUCGACCUUCUCCACCGCUUAGCCGCAACCGUGACGACAGUUCCAACUUCCAAGAGAAACUCAAAGUUCUCCCCAUUAUCUCGUUAGUUCACGAGAUAAACAACUUUAUAUUCGAGAAUUUGCUACAUCUCUCACAGUUUGAUAAACUUGACUGUGACUUUGACUUCAUCUUCUGUUUUUAUUGUUAAUAAAUAUAAAUAAUAACAACUAUUAAUUAAUUAAUCAUAUAAAAAGUUAAAAAUUUUAUCUUGUCCAAGAAUCACAUUCCUCAUCCAUCUCCUAUGCCUCUCUGAUCAGAUUAUAAAGUCAAUGGUUUCGAUUUGAGAAUUGGCACAAGUCAUAAUAAUCUUCUUUGCAACCCUAACUUUUGUUCUUCAGGUAUACUUAUUUUAUUUCCUCUGUUAUGCUUAUGUUCAUUGAUAUUUGAUUCUUGUUUAGUGCAUAUAUUUAAAAUUAUUUUAUUACAUUUUUGGGGCUAGUAUUUCUUUUUCUUCUUUUUUCUUUUUCCCGUAAUUAGUAGUGAGUAAUAUUUUUUUCUUCUCCAUAAUUCCAUUUCUUGCAACCAAAACCCUAGAAUGUGUUGAUUUUCUUUCCUGUUCUCGCAGGAUAGGUUGAUUUUAGUAUUUUACCCAUCAAAAGAGAACAAUAUAUAAUUUCUUUGAUGGGCACGGUAGAGACACCAUCGAAAAACCCAGCUGGGUGUUCAUCUCCUUCGCCAGAAAAUGACAAGAAUGAGCUCAGAGAAGCUCUUUGUGCUCUGAAAGGAGGAGCAAUAGAAAACGGAGUAGGUUUUUCAAGUCAUGGAAGCCAAGGUGAUGAUGAUGAUGGUGGUGGAGGUGGUGUUGAAUUGGUUAAGAACAGGGUUAGGUGUGGCUCUGUUGGGAGAGAAGUGGAAGAUGGUUGUCAAGGUUUGGCUGAUUCGGAGAUGAAUGGGGUCUCCUCUUUGUUGAAAAUGAAAGGAAGUGGGAGACGGUUGACGUAUUCCUUUGGAAGUGAUAGUGGAGAUUCUGAGAAGUUGAACUAUGGAAGUGGUGGUUCUUUUGGUGUUGGAAUGGAAAGAGGAAGAAAAUAUUGGAAGAGAAGUGAAGAAGAAGGUGAUCAAUUUGGAAAAAUUGUGAGUAAAGAUGUUCCGGUUACUGAGACAAGUGAGAAUAGGGACUUGGAUGUGGAAGAUUUGGGUGAAGAAGGACAUGGGUUUUCUGUUGGUGAUUUUGUUUGGGGUAAAAUUAAGAGUCAUCCUUGGUGGCCUGGCCAAAUUUAUGACCCUUCAGAUGCAUCGGAUUUUGCUUUGAAGUUAAGACAGAAGAACAGACUCCUUGUGGCCUACUUUGGGGACGGAACCUUUGCUUGGUGCCAUCCUUCUCAAUUGAAGUUGUUUCGGGAGAACUUUCAGGAUAUGGUGAAGCAGAGUAGCUCAAGGUCUUUUGUCAAUGCUGUGCAGGAAGCUGUAAAUGAAGUGGGGAGGCUGGUAGAGAUCAAAACAAAUUGUUGUCCAUGUGCUUCGGAGGAAACUAGGUCUGACUUUGCUCUGCCAUUGGCUAAGAAUGCUGGAAUCAAGGAAGGAGUUCUUGUGCCUGGAAAUGGUGUAGAGAGAUUUUUGGAUUUUCUGAUUAACCCAGCAGAGUUACUUUCUCGAGUAAAACAAAUUGCGGAAAUUAUUGCCGUUACUAAUACGCUGGACCUGGAAAUCUUGAAGGCUCGGCUUUCAGCCUUUCAUCUAGCAAGAGGAGGUUAUAAGUUACCUAAGUAUGAAGAACCCCUGCCAGUUCCUGGGCUUGAAGAUAGUUCAAUGGAUGAAAGAGUAGAUGUAGGUAACAUUCAGGGUGGAGUGGAAGCACAUGUCCAAGGGCCAUCCGAAGACGACUACUCUACUGUGCCAACGAACCCAGAG
rnacentral:lncRNA from 1 species